UCCCCGGUGGCUCAGACGGUAAAGCGUCUGCCUGCAAUGCGGGAGACCCGGGUUCGAUUCCUGGGUCGGGAA
rnacentral:tRNA from 1 species